rnacentral:rRNA from 1 species
GAGUUUGAUCCUGGCUCAGGACGAACGCUGGCGGCGUGCCUAACACAUGCAAGUCGAGCGAUGCGAUCCUUCGGGGUCAAUUAGCGGCGGACGGGUGAGUAACACGUGGGUAACCUGCCUCAAAGAGGGGAAUAGCCUCCCGAAAGGGAGAUUAAUACCGCAUAAUAUGUUUUAAUCGCAUGAUUGAGACAUCAAAGGAUUUUCUUUUAGAACUUCCACUUUGAGAUGGACCCGCGGCGCAUUAGCUAGNNGGUGAGGUAACGGCCCACCAAGGCAACGAUGCGUAGCCGACCUGAGAGGGUGAUCGGCCACAUUGGAACUGAGACAC